GAUGAACGCUGGCGGCGUGCCUAAUACAUGCAAGUCGAGCGAACAGACGAGGAGCUUGCUCCUCUGACGUUAGCGGCGGACGGGUGAGUAACACGUGGAUAACCUACCUAUAAGACUGGGAUAACUUCGGGAAACCGGAGCUAAUACCGGAUAAUAUAUUGAACCGCAUGGUUCAAUAGUGAAAGACGGUUUUGCUGUCGCUUAUAGAUGGAUCCGCGCCGCAUUAGCUAGUUGGUAAGGUAACGGCUUACCAAGGCAACGAUGCGUAGCCGACCUGAGAGGGUGAUCGGCCACACUGGAACUUAGCCACGGUCAAGACUCCUACGGGAGGCAGCAGUAGGGUAUCUUCCGCAAUGGGCGAAAGCCUGACGGAGCAACGCCGCGUGAGUGAUGAAGGUCUUCGGAUCGUAAAACUCUGUUAUUAGGGAAGAACAAAUGUGUAAGUAACUAUGCACGUCUUGACGGUACCUAAUCAGAAAGCCACGGCUAACUACGUG
rnacentral:rRNA from 1 species